GAUGAACGCUGGCGGCGUGCCUAAUACAUGCAAGUCGAGCGAACAGACGAGGAGCUUGCUCCUCUGACGUUAGCGGCGGACGGGUGAGUAACACGUGGAUAACCUACCUAUAAGACUGGGAUAACUUCGGGAAACCGGAGCUAAUACCGGAUAAUAUAUUGAACCGCAUGGUUCAAUAGUGAAAGACGGUUUUGCUGUCACUUAUAGAUGGAUCCGCGCCGCAUUAGCUAGUUGGUAAGGUAACGGCUUACCAAGGCGACGAUGCGUAGCCGACCUGAGAGGCUGGUGGGCCACACUGGACCGUCGCCAGGGUGCCGCCUCUCCCGGGAGGAGCCAGGCGGGAUUUGUGCGCAAUGGGUGAAAGUAUGAAGGAGUAAUGCCUAGGGAGUAAUAAAGGUCUUCGGAUCUUAGACCGUCGUUACGAGGGAAAAAAAAAUGGCCAAGGAAAUAUGCACGUCGUGACGGUACCGAAUCAGAAAGCCACGGCUAACUACUUG
rnacentral:rRNA from 1 species